UCCGGCUUUUGACCGGCGGUCUCCUUAGAGUGCCCCCUUGCGGGAUGGCAACUAAGGACAAGGGUUGCGCUCGUUGCGGGACUUAACCCAACAUCUCACGACACGAGCUGACGACAGCCAUGCAGCACCUGUGCACGAUCUCCGAAGAGGGGCUCUCGUUUCUGAGAGCUUGCUCGUGCAUGUCAAGCCUAGGUAAGGUUCUUCGCGUUGCGUCGAAUUAAACCACACGCUCCGCUGCUUGUGCGGGCCCCCGCCUAUUCCUUUGAGUUUUAGCCUUGCGGUCGUACUCCCCAGGCGGGGUACUUCCUGCGUUAGCGCCGGCACCCAGAGGGUCGCUCCCCCAGGCACCUAGUACCCAUCGUUUACGGCGUGGACUAC
rnacentral:misc_RNA from 1 species